UACGAAGGGGGCUAGCGUUGUUCGGAAUCACUGGGCGUAAAGGGCGCGUAGGCGGCCGGUCAAGUCGGGGGUGAAAGCCUGUGGCUCAACCACAGAAUGGCCUUCGAUACUGGACGGCUCGAGACCGGAAGAGGUGAGUGGAACUGCGAGUGUAGAGGUGAAAUUCGUAGAUAUUCGCAAGAACACCAGUGGCGAAGGCGGCUCACUGGUCCGGUUCUGACGCUGAGGCGCGAAAGCGUGGGGGGCAAACAGA
rnacentral:rRNA from 1 species